rnacentral:rRNA from 1 species
UACGUAGGGGGCAAGCGUUGUCCGGAUUUAUUGGGCGUAAAGAGCGUGUAGGCGGCCAGAUAGGUCUGUUGUGAAAACUCGAGGCUCAACCUCGAGACGCCGAUGGAAACCAUUUGGCUAGAGUCCGGAAGAGGAGAGUGGAAUUCCUGGUGUAGCGGUGAAAUGCGCAGAUAUCUGGAGGAACACCGGUGGCGAAGGCGGCGUUCUGGACUGCAACUGACACUGAUGAACGAAAGCCAGGGGAGCAAACGGG